rnacentral:rRNA from 1 species
GAUGAACGCUGGCGGUAUGCUUAACACAUGCAAGUCGAACGGACUCUUCGGAGUUAGUGGCGGACGGGUGAGUAACGCGUGAGAAUCUGGCUUUGGGUUCGGGACAACCACUGGAAACGGUGGCUAAUACCGGAUGUGCCGAGAGGUAAAAGAGAAAUUGCCUGAAGAUGAGCUCGCGUCUGAUUAGCUAGUUGGUGAGGUAAAGGCUCACCAAGGCAGCGAUCAGUAGCUGGUCUGAGAGGAUGACCGGCCACACUGGGACUGGGACGCGGCCCAGACUCCUACUGGGGGCAGCAGUGGAGAAUUAUCCGCAAUGGGCGAAAGCCUGACGGAGGAAUACCGCGUGAGGGAAGAAGUCUCUUGGGUUGAAAACCUCUUUUCUUAGGGAAGAACAAAAUGACGGUACCUAAGGAAUCAGCAUCGGCUAACUCCGUG